rnacentral:rRNA from 1 species
AAUUUUGGACAAUGGGGGAAACCCUGAUGCAGCGACGCCGCGUGAGCGAAGAAGGCCNNNGGGUCNUAAUGUUCUUUCCUAAGNGACNAAACGGACGGUACCUCAGGGGGAAGCCCCUGCUAACUACUCCCCAGCAGCCGCGGUAAUACGUAGGGGGCGAGCGUUAUCCGGAAUUAUUGGGCGUAAAGGGUGCGUAGGCGGCCUUUUAAGUCAGAUGUGAAAGGCUACGGCUUAACCGUAGUUAGCAUUUGAAACUAAAAGGCUUGAGUGCAGGAGAGGAGAGUGGAAUUCCUAGUGUAGCGGUGAAAUGCGUAGAUAUUAGGAGGAACACCAGUGGCGAAGGCGACUCUCUGGACUGCAACUGACGCUGAGGCACGAAAGCGUGGGGAGCGAACAG